CAAACUUGUGAAACUGUCUUUAGCACCUUUGCUGUUUGAGGCAUAAACAAAUCAUUCUUCUCCUAUACCAACUUGCCAUUUUCUGGCAACCCUAUUUUAUCUAUGCAGGGACUUUUCUGGGAGAUGUUUCACUGUUUGCCCAUUUAAUCUUUAGGUAACCUUGGGAGACUGAUGAGAAAUGGCAUAGUUACAAGACUAUUACAGACUUGAGAUUGCUAGCAUUUUUCUGCAUACGGCACUGAACAGCUAUCAGGGGCAAAACAGUUUUCAGUUGUUUCAAGUCAAUGUUGGGUUUGAAACAAGAAGCCGGGAAGCGGAAGUGCCUGCUUAUGUACAUGUUCAGGCUGGUUCCUUACCCGUGUGCUCUUGCAUAUCCCUAGUAUUUGCACUCUCACUAACUGGUUCAUCAGGAAGUUUUAGCCAGAUCCAGGUAAGAGCAACAUUUGCAGUGAUUUUUGUUUUUGAAGAAUUUCUCCUUUGGUAAAGUAUUAAGCCCUUUUUCUCUCUUCCUUUAAUAAUGGUAUAGAGUUUCUCUAU
rnacentral:lncRNA from 1 species